UUGGAGGCAAGUCUGGUGCCCGCAGCCGCGGUAAUUCCAGCUCCAAUAGCGUAUAUUAAAGUUGUUGCAGUUAAAAAGCUCGUAGUUGAAUUUCGGGGUUCUACCGUUGGUCGGGCUUUGUCUGUACUGGCGUGUAGAAUUUCUACCUUCUGGGGAACCAUUAUGUUAUUAAUUUAGCGUGGUGGGAAACCGGGACCUUUACCUUGAAAAAAUUAGAGUGUUCAAAGCAGGCUUAUGUCUGAAUACAUUAGCAUGGAAUAAUAGAAUAGGACGGUGGUCCUGUUUUGUUGGUUU
rnacentral:rRNA from 1 species